UCAAAACCAUCCAACUUCUUAUCUCUCUCUCUCUCUCUCUAAAAUCGUUCAAACCAAAACACCCUACAACACUUUCAUUUCAAUCUUCAAAAACUCAAGAAUUCAUACACUUAUGGAGGUCCAUGGAUGAAACAAGCUACAAGGGUGUUUAGAAAAGCUAUUAGGAGCCUUUUUGGUAGAACUUGAAGCUUUGGAUCAACAAGAUUUCUUACCAUCAUCUUUAUAUCUUGCAAAAUUUGUCAAGAAACUAACGACGAACAAGGAAUCGAAUAGGGAUUUGCACAGAACGCAAAUCUGAGAUUAGUGGACGGCUUUGAAAAAAUAUGUUCAAGUGGUUAUCAAGAACGCAAGCUUUUGUGAUGUCAUCCGUCUUCGGUUAUUACGUAUUGAACUUUGAAUAAUGUAGUUAAAGUUGUUGUUAUUUCAAAUUUCAAUCAAGACAUAUGUAAUGUAAAUUAUGGUUUCGAAUCAAAUGUA